CACUGGUUGCCUAGUACGGCGAGUGAAGCGGCAACAGCUCAAAUUUGAAAGCUAGCCUUCGGGUUCGCAUUGUAAUUUGUAGAGGAUGCUUUGGGUAAAACGCCAGUCUAAGUUCCUUGGAACAGGACGUCAUAGAGGGUGAGAAUCCCGUAUGUGACUGGAAAUGUUAACCUAUGUAAAGCUCCUUCGACGAGUCGAGUUGUUUGGGAAUGCAGCUCUAAAUGGGAGGUAAAUUUCUUCUAAAGCUAAAUAUUGGCGAGAGACCGAUAGCGCACAAGUAGAGUGAUCGAAAGAUGAAAAGCACUUUGGAAAGAGAGUUAAAAAGCACGUGAAAUUGUUGAAAGGGAAGCGCUUGCAAUCAGACUUGUUUAAACUGUUCGGCCGGUCUUCUGACCGGUUUACUCAGUUUGGACAGGCCAGCAUCAGUUUCGGCGGCCGGAUAAAGGCUCUGGGAAUGUGGCCUCCACUUCGGUGGAGGUGUUAUAGCCCAGUGUGUAAUACGGCCAGCCGGGACUGAGGUCCGCGCUUCGGCUAGGAUGCUGGCGUAAUGGUUGUAAGCGACCCGUCUUGACAC
rnacentral:rRNA from 1 species